AUUCAUUCUUCUGCUGUAUUGGGUUUUCUUUGAAUUACGAUGUCAAUGGCGAGGCCUAAUCAGGAGGCAAUUGAGACAUUUAUGAGCAUCACUGGCAAUUGAUCUAAUCAGCGUUCGUUCAUAAACAGCACCAAAAAGAUUCACAACCAGCGAUUUCAAUAAAGAAAGUGGCUGAGAAACUGAGUUUGCAUUCAGAAGUAAAUCUGUUGAAGAUGCUGGUUUUUAGGGCAGCGCUUCAAAACAUUUGCAAUCACCAAAUGUUCGGUAAAUUGCCAAAGUUGUGGCAUGAGAAAAUCCAAAACAAAACAAAAUGGUGUGUUACCAAGUGGAUAUGCACGGAGGAUUGGGUCCUAAAUACAGAAAAAUUGGCUGAACUACGGAAGAUCUAGAAGGCUCAACGUAAAAAUUGUCUAAGUAGUAACCAAGUUGAGUGUCUCUUGUUGAAGCAAUCAUCGGCCAAGCUUCUUACCAGUGAAGCAAUCAAGUCCUUGAGGUAUGCAUUCAAGGUUAGUUUGAAUUCGAUCUCCAUUGCGAUACCUUCACUUUGAUCAGUUCUGAUUUCAUUUAUGUUGUCUACUACUACUACUAGUUUCUCUAUGAUACUCUUGAGCACGUAUCACUCUUGUUUAGAAUUGACUGCAGCACAACAUGAAUUUAGGUUUCCUCUUGCUGAGAGUUGCAACACUACUACUACUACUAUUACUUGUAGCACAACUUAAAACUACUACUUGUAGCACAAUUUGAAUUUAGGUUUUCUCUUACUUAGAGUUGACAAGUUGACAAUGAAACUACUACUUGUAACACUACUUGAAUUUAGAUUUUCUCUUGCUUAGAGUUGACAACACCACAACCACUACUACAACUUGAAUUUAGGUUUCCUCUUAGGUUUCUUCUUGCUUAGAGUUUACUACUACUACUACUACUACUACACAACUUGAGACUACUACUUGUAGUACCACUUGAAACUACAACUUGGAGCACAAUUUGAAUUUAGGUUUCCUCUUUCUUAGAGUUGACAAUAACACAACUACUACUUCGUCUUUCUUAUAGUUGACAACAACACAACUACUACUACUACUACUUGUAGCACAACUUGAAUUUAGGUUUUCUCUUACUUAGAGUUGCAACACAACUACUACUACUACUACUACUUGUAGCACAACUUGAAACUACUACUUGUAGCACAACUUGAAUUUAGGUUUCCUCUUGUUUAGAGUUGACAACACAACUACUACUUGUAGCACAACUUGAAUUUAGGUUUUCACUACUACAAAACUUGAGACUACUACUUGUAGCACAACUAGUUUAUGUUUCCUCUUGUUUUGUUUAGAGUUGACAACAACACAACUACUACUACUUGUAGCACAACUUGAAUUUAGGUUUUCUCUACCACACAACUUGGGACUACUACUUGUAGCACAACUUGAAACUACUACUUGUAGCACAACUUGAAUUUAGGUUUCCUCUUGCUUAGAGUUGACAACAACAUAACUACCACUACUAUUACUACUUUGUCUUGCUUAGAGUUGACAACAACACAAGUACACAACUACUACUACUACUUGUAGCACAAUUUGAAUUUAGGUUUUCUCAUGCUUAGAGUUGACAACAACACAACUACUACUAAUACUCAACUUGAGGUUUUCUCAUGCUUAGAGUUGACAACAACACAACUACUACUAAUACUCAACUUGAGACUACUACUUGUAGCACAACUUGAAACUACUACUUGUAGCACAACUUGAAUUUAUGUUUUCUCUUGCUUAGAGUUGACAAUAACACAACUAUUAUUAGAACUACUACUUCGUCUUGCUUAUAGCUGACAACAACUACUACUAUUUGUAGCACAACUUGAAUUUAGGUUUUCUAUUACUUAGAGUUGCAACACUACUACUAGUACUACUUGUAGCACAACUUGAAACUACUACUUGUAGCACAAUUUGAAUUUAGGUUUCCUCUUGCUUAGAGUUGACAAGUUGACAAUGAAACUACUACUUGUAACACUACUUGAAUUUAGAUUUCCUCUUACUUAGAGUUGACAACACCACAACCACUACUACAACUUGAAUUUAGGUUUUCUCUUCCUUAGAGUUGAAUUUAGGUUUCUUCUUGCUUAGAGUUGACAAAAACACUACUACUACUACUACUAGUACUACACAACUUGAGACUACUACUUGUAGUACCACUUGAAACUACAACUUGGAGCACAACUGGAAUUUAGGUUUCCUCUUCCUUCGAGUUGACAAUAACACAGCUACUACUUCGUAUUUCUUAUAGUUGACAACAACACAACUACUACUACUACUACUACUACUACUACUAUUACUACUUGUAGCACAACUUAGAAUUUAGGUUUUCUCUUGCUUAGAGUUGCAACACUACUACUAACACUACUGCUGCUGCUACUACUACUACUACUAUUACUACUUGUAGCACAAUUUGAAUUUAGGUUUCCUCUUGUUUAAAGUUGACAACAACACAACAACAACUACUACUACUACUAUUACUUGUAGCACAACUUGAAACUGCUACUUGUAGCACAAUUUGAAUAUAGGUUUCCUCUUGUGUGGAGUUGACAACAACAAAACUAUUACUACUACUACUACUUGUAGCACAACUCAACUUGAAUUUAGGUUUCCUCUUGUUUAGUGUUGUCAACACUACGAUUAAUACUACUACUACUUGUAGCACAACUUGAAACUACUACUUGCACAACUCAACUUGAAUUUAGGUUUCUUCUUGUUUAGAGUUGACAACAACACUGCUAUUAAUACUACUAUUACUACUUGUAGCACAACUUGAAACUACUACUUGUAGCACAACUUGAAUUUAGGUUUUCUCUUGUUUAAAGUUGACAACAACACAACUACUACUACUACUUGUAGCACAACUUGAAUAUAGGUUUUUUCUUGUUUAGAGUUGACAUCAACAAAACUAUUACUGCUACUACUACUUGUAGCACAACUCAACUUGAAUUUAGGUUUCCUCUUGUUUAGAGUUGACAACAACACUGCUAUUAAUACUACUACUACUUGUAGCACAACUUGAAUUUAGGUUUCCUCUUGUUUAGAGUUGACAACAACACUACUAUUAAUACUACUACUACUUGUAGCACAACUUGAAACUACUACUUGUAGCACAAUUUGAAUUUAGGUUUACUCUUGUUUAGAGUUGACAACACAACUAUUACUACUUCUACUUGUAGCACAACUUGAAUUUAGGUUUUCACUACUACAAAACUUGAGACUACUACUUGUAGCACAACUAGUUUAUGUUUCCUCUUACUUAGAGUUGACAACAACAUAACUACUACUACUAUUGCUACUUUGUCUUGCUUAGAGUUGACAACAACACAACUACUACUACUUGUAGCACAAUUUGAAUUUAGGUUUUCUCUUGCUUAGAGUUGACAACAACACAACUACUACUAAUACUCAACUUGAGACUACUACUUGUAGCACAACUUGAAUUUAGGUUUCCUUUUGCUUAGAGUUGACAAUAACACAACUAUUAUUAGAACUACUACGUCGUCUUGCUUAUAGUUGACAACAACUACUACUACUUAUAGCACAACUUGAAUUUAGGUUUUCUCUUGCUUAGAGUUGCAACACUACUAUGCACAACUUGAAACUAGUACUUGUAGCACAACUUGAAUUUAGGUUUCCUCUUGCUUAGAGUUGACAACAAUUCAACUACUACUACUACUUGUAGCUCAAUAGAAUUUCGGUUUCCUCUUGCUUAGAGUUGACAACAACACAACAACUACUAUUACUACUUUGUCUUGCUUAGAGUUGACAACAAUACAACAACUACUAUUACAUGUAGCACAACUUGUUUUCUCUUGCUUAGAGUUGACAACAACACAACUACUACUAAUACUUAACUUGAGACUACUACUUGUAGCCCAACUUGAAACUACUACUUGUAGCACAACAUGAAUUUAGGUUUCCUCUUGCUUAGAGUUGACAAUAACACAACUACUACUACAACUACUACUUCGUCUUGCUUAUAGUUGCUUAUAGUUGACAACGACACAACCACUACUACUACUUGUCGCUGACAAUUCAACUACUACUACUACUACUACUUGUAGCACUUGAAUUUAAAUUUUCUUUUGCUUAGAGUUGACAACAACACAACUAUUACUAGUACACAACUUGAGUCUACUACUUGUAGCAAACUUGAACCUACUACUUGUAGCACAGCUUGAAUUUAAGUUUUCUCUUGCUUAGAGUUGACAGUUACACAACUAUUCCUCUUUCUUAGAGUUGACAAUAGCACAACUGCUACUCUACUACUACUAGAUCCUCUUGUUUAGAGUUGACAACAACACAACCUGAACAAUUGUAGCACAACUUGAAUUUAGGUUUUCUCUUGCUUAGAGUUGAUUGCAGCAGAACAAUUUGAAUUCAGGUUUUCUCUUAGAUUUGAAUGCAGCACAACCUGAACAACUGUAGCACAAUUUGAAUUUAGAUUUUCUCUUGCAUAGAGUUGAUUGCAGGGCAACUUGAAUUUUGGUUUCUGUAUUGGUUCCAUCUUUUGAAACAAGGUGCUACUACUACUAGAUUCUCUUGCUUAGAGUUAAAUGCAGCACAACACAACUUGAACAACUAUAGCAUACUUGAAUUUAGGUUUCCUCUUGCUUAGAGUUGAUUGCAACACAACUUGAGUUCAGGUUUCAGUGUUGGUUCCUUCUUUUGAAACAAGGUACUAUUACUACCACUCCUUGAAUAACUCCAGCACCACUUGAAUUUAGGUUUCCUCUUGUUUAGAGUUGAUUGCAACACAACUUGAAUUCAAUUUUUAGUGUUGGUUCCUUCAUUUGAAACUAAUGUACUAUUAUUACUACUACUUGAACAACUAUAACACACCUUGAAUUCAGGUUUCUCUUACUUAGGGUUGAUUGCAGCACAACUUGAAUAACUGCAGCAUAACUUGAAUUCAGGUUUUCUCUUGCUUAGAGUUGACUGCAACUAUGCAUACUAGAAAGAGAGAAUGAGAAUUUCCGUGCAGUGUUGUUUCCUUAUUCUUUGAGCUUCGUUUGAGAUUUCUUUGUUAUGAUUUUUUAUAUCUAUCUUUUUGUAAUUGAGAAAAAGGCUAAAGUGAGAGAAUGAAAAAGUCAAAAUAAUUGUGUAUUUAGUUUUUGUUGAAUUAGGAUUAGUUCUUCUUAGCCAAGUUGGGAUAACACUUGGUAGUUGUUGAACCAUAUUAGAGUCUUCCUUAGUCAAGUUGGGAUAGCACUUGGUAUAGCACUUGGUGGAUAUUAGGUUUAGGUUAGAAAUUUAGUGGGGGAUACUAGAUGAAUUAGGUUGUAAUUCAUUGGUAUUGGUGCAUGUAAUUAGUUUGAUUAUAGUUGAAAUUUUACCAUGGUUGUGGUGGAGACUGGACGUAGGUUUCAUUGCACUUAGAAACCAAACCAGGAUACAUGUUUGUGUGGUUCUUUUUCUCUAUGUUUUGCUCUACUUUUGAGUCAACUCGCUUUCUCAAGUUCUAAGAUCUUGACAAUGGUUACAGGUUAAAAAUUCACUAUUAUUAUCACUAAUUACAACAUGAUAAUUAUAAAGAGUAAACCUAAUUCGUUAAUCUCUACAAAUUAAGGAAUGUCGAUUAAGCUUAAUUAACCUAAUUCAUAAAUGUUAACUAACUUAUUGAAUUUAGUAAAAAGUUAGUGUUAACAAAAACAAGGUUAAUUAAUAGUUCUAAAUUAUUAAUCAAUUUAGACAUUAGUAACUCAAGAUCACCAUAGUUUUCAAUUCAAUCCAAGAAUAAAAAAAUAUAUUUUAUAACUAGUUCAAGCAUUUUGUCAAAUAUUUAGAGUGCAUAAGGAUAAAACAUUAUAAAUCACAACAAUUGGUAAAAACUACAACUAUCUAAUUCAAGAACACGACAAUAACAUCUCAAAUAAGUAAGAAUAACAUAAAAUAUCAAAUUCAUUAAUAAAAAAACAUAAAUCCAACAAGAGGUUAUAAACUAAAUGACAAGAUAAAGAAAAAUAACAAGAGAAUCUAAGCAAAAGGCGAGGAUGUAUUUGGUUAGGUGGACUAAGAAUUUAAACUUUGAUUAACCUAAAUCUCUAUCUAACCUACAACAACUUUUUAAAUCCUAAUGUAUAAAUCUAAUUACCCAGUGUUUUAUCCAUAUUUCACUUUUUACACACAUCUAUGCAUCUUUAACUAAUUCACAUCAUAUAUGCACCUAUUUCUAAAAAGAGUAAACUAAUAAAAAUACAUCUAAAUAAUUUUGUCCCUAACAAAAAUACACCCAAAUUUUAUUAUCGAAAAAAAUGCUCUCAAAUAAUUUAAAUACGAC